rnacentral:lncRNA from 1 species
AGAAUAUUACAGAAGGGACUUCAACAAAAGUAAAACAGUUUGCUCAUGCCUCUAGGUGAUCAAUUCAUCCUCGAAGAUUCAGUACCAUAAAGGCUGCGUUGAAGAGCUGGUACUAUUUUUUUUGCUUGCAUAUUGAAUAGCCACCGGUUUUUACCUGUUUGCUGAGUAAAACAUAUGCAAUUUCUCCUGCAUCCUAGUUUGCUGGCAUUAACUUUCCUCUUUGACGAACAAUGUUUUGUGCCCAAGGCUUUCUAUCUUAACCUACAACAGUUUAGGAAUAUCAAUCCUGUAAAUUUCAACAUCAUUCACUUUCUUAAUGGAUCUUUUAGAGGUUGAGAAAAUCAACAAGAUUUCUCCAUCCAAUUCAGCUAAAAUUUCCUUCAAUUGUCUUGAAAUAAAAGAAGGAACAGCUCUGCUUGAGCUGAUCUCAGUGACGCUAAGGCUAGAAUCAAUUUCUUCAAUAACUGCAAGGGUUCCCUGCAAACUCAAUGCAUAGAGUUUCCCAUUAAAUCCGAUGGCAUUUAUGAAAUGGAAAUGUUCACCCGAGCCAAAAGGAUCAGUGACAUUACAGUCUUGUUUUGUCCCCACACAUUUUUUUCUGACCCCCAUCUUACCGAACACAAAAGCUGGAGAAAAAGCUCAUGUUAGAACCAUAAUUAUACAGGUUUUCCCAUAAUCUUUGAUACCUAUGGGAUGAAAUGUAAAUAAAGUUGCAAACUUGAAUGGAAUGCGGGUGUCCCAACUUGGAAGUUUACACUAAGUCUCUAUAGGAUUUCGAAAAAAAAAUGUCUUCUGGGUAGCAUUUAAGUGCUAUUAGUGCACCAUGGGAAUGACCAAGGGUCCAACCAUGUUAGCCAUCUUCUAUUAUAAGGCCAUUAGCAUCCCCUAUGAAACCAGAUAUGGAAGCAGCCUUGUUUUGUUGCAAACUUGAAUGGAAUGAUUCUUGUUUUGUUGAAUUUCAGUGAGUUGUUGGCAUAGGAACUUCCCUAUUGGGCUACUAGUUUUGACUUUGCUGAUCUCCAUCACUUGGUCACACAGUUGAUCUCUUCAACUUACUGCAUAUUUUUAUACAUUUAACUGAACAAUAAAAAAAUACUCCCUCCGUCCCAUUUUACCCGUUUCAAAUUUCCUAAUCUGGUGUCCCAUUUUACUUGUCUUUUUUUACUUAUCAAGACAAGACAAAUUUUUUUUUCCAUAUUUUACCCUUUGCAUUAAUUAUUUUUUCUUUAAAUUAAAAUGUAAACAUCAUUUAAUAAGGGUACUAUGGUAAACUAGCCAUGUUAUUUAUUAUUUUUCUUAAUAACUGUGUCAUCUCAAUUUAGGACGAGUAAAAUGGGACGGAGGAAGUAAAUGAUACUUUUGAACAACUCAACAAUCUUGAUUCUUGGAGUCCCAACACUAAUAAAAAGAAAAGCUUGGACAUGGAGAAUUAGAUUAUAAAAGCACUAAUUGGAUCAUCAGACAAGCUCAGAAUUAGACCUUGUUCUUCUCUAUACAUGGCUUUAAAUGAUAGGAGGAAACAGAAAACUUCAUCUAAAGAAAAGUCUGCCUAUGUGUAACCAUGGCUAAAUCUUCCUGAAAAGAUACUCAACUUUCUCAAAACGCCACGGAGAUAUUCAAGUUUAAUUGAAUCCAUGGGUCCUGCUGGUGUUACUGUUGAAUAUGUUGA